CUUUAGGUACACUAUCUAGACUAUAUGAAAUCAUUAUCAGAAGGAACAACCCAAUCCACUGAGUCUGAAAUAUGAAGACUUAUUUCAUUCUGGUCAUUUUGGUUAGCGCAUUAACUACGAUUGACAUCGUCGCGGGAGGUCCAGACUACCACUGUCCACCAUUUGGAGAACCUGCAGUAAGCUUGUGUGGUCCGUAUUCACGCUGCCCAAGAGGAACAUACUGUUAUCAUAGAUACCAUCUAGCCGAUAUUUGCUGCCGCUCAUGGGAUCAUGGGAAAUAUUGAUCGAUGGUUCCAGAAAGAGUAGUUAUGUACAAGAAGAACAAUAUGCGAAAUAAAAAUAAACACAUGUAUUCAAAUGUACUAAAUUAAAAAAAAGUUAUGAUUUUAUAUAUUUCAUACAUGAC